rnacentral:lncRNA from 1 species
AGAAUACCCGACUGCACUGCAAUAAAAUAUAAGACAAUUUUUUGGUGGUAUAUUAAUCUCACGUAUGCAUUUACAGUAAUGUUCAUUAAUAGGUUUCCAGUGGCACACUAUUUUUCGGAAUCAAAAGAGGAAUAAGUUUCCUUUAAUUUCGUACAUCGUAUUUCCGGUUCACUUGGUUCACCAAUUGGUGGAAGUAGAAGCAGAUAAUGUGAUUCCCAGAAUUGCCUCUCCGCCAAUUUGAGGAACAAGGGUGAUCGUCCACCCCCCCCCCCCCCCUGUGCUCUGUUCAAUCUUUUGCGCACUCCUUAAGAAAUAUAAAAGGCUGCCGAUCCUCGGGAGGGCACAGACUUCAGUCAAUAGUCACAGCGAAUCGUACGACGAAAUCUCCGAAGUUUUCUACAGUUUUCAACAGUAAUAAAUCCAGAAAAAUGGACAAGGAUGCACGCGAUAACCGUUCUCGCCAGCAGGACCCACAGCAUCAACCCUCUGGCCCCGGUCGCGACGCUGGGUAUCACGGUGCAGGGACCAAAGCGGAUUUGGAUAAUCAUGCAAACCAAGGAAAUCUCAACCAUGCAAAAUCUGGACCAGUCGCAAAGAAAUAAUUAAUACCAUCUUGCUAUCCGAUCCUAUUAUAAAGAUCAGGAAAUUAAUAAAGUAAACUUUUCUUACAUGUA